GAUGAAGAACGCAGCGAAAUGCGAUAAGUAAUGUGAAUUGCAGAAUUCAGUGAAUCAUCGAAUCUUUGAACGCACAUUGCGCCCUCUGGUAUUCCGGGGGGCAUGCCUGUUCGAGCGUCAUUAUAACCACUCAAGCUCUCGCUUGGUAUUGGGGCUCGCGGUUCCGCGGCCCCUAAAAUCAGUGGCGGUGCCUGUCGGCUCUACGCGUAGUAAUACUCCUCGCGAUUGAGUCCGGUAGGUCUACUUGCCAGCAACCCCCAACUUUCUAUGGUUGACCUCGGAUCAGGUAGGGAUACCCGCUGAACUUAAGCAUAUCAAUAAGCGGAGGA
rnacentral:misc_RNA from 1 species